rnacentral:rRNA from 1 species
UCGAACGGAUGUUUUCGGACAUUAGUGGCGGACGGGUGAGUAACGCGUGAGAAUCUGCCUAUAGGUUGGGGACAACAGAUGGAAACGUCUGCUAAUACCCGAUGUGCCGAGAGGUAAAAGCUUUAGUGCCUGUAGAUGAGCUCGCGUCCGAUUAGCUAGUUGGUUGGGUAAAGGCUGACCAAGGCGACGAUCGGUAGCUGGUCUGAGAGGAUGAUCAGCCACACUGGGACUGAGACACGGCCCAGACUCCUACGGGAGGCAGCAGUGGGGAAUUUUCCGCAAUGGGCGAAAGCCUGACGGAGCAAUACCGCGUGCGGGACGAAGGCUUUUGGGUCGUAAACCGCUUUUGUUAGGGAAGAAGAACUGGCGGUACCUAACGAAUCAGCAUCGGCUAACUCCGUGCCAGCAGCCGCGGUAAUACGGGGGAUGCAAGCGUUAUCCGGAAUUAUUGGGCGUAAAGCGUCCGCAGGUGGUUUAUCAAGUCUGCUGUCAAAGCGUGGGGCUUAACCCCAUACAGGCAGUGGAAACUGAGAGACUAGAGUACGGUAGGGGUAGCGGGAAUUCCCAGUGUAGCGGUGAAAUGCGUAGAUAUUGGGAAGAACACCAGCGGCGAAGGCGCGCUACUGGGCCGAAACUGACACUCAUGGACGAAAGCUAGGGGAGCGAAAGGGAUUAGAUACCCCUGUAGUCCUAGCUGUAAACGAUGACAACUAGGUGUUGCGCGUAUCGACCCGUGCAGUGCCGUAGCUAACGCGUUAAGUUGUCCGCCUGGGGAGUACGCACACAAGUGUGAAACUCAAAGGAAUUGACGGGGGCCCGCACAAGCGGUGGAGUAUGUGGUUUAAUUCGAUGCAACGCGAAGAACCUUACCAGGGCUUGACAUGUCGCGAAUCCUUGCGAAAGUAGGGAGUGCCUUCGGGAGCGCGAACACAGGUGGUGCAUGGC